AUAUUCCUUAUUUCUCCUCUGUUUUUGUUUUUGACAGGGCGAAAGUUCUAUUGGGUAAAUGGCAUAGCAAUUACAGACAAAAUUGAUAACAAAUCUUGGUACAUAGCUUGCAACAACUGUUAUAGACGAUCAAAUGCUGAUUUUGGAUAAAUUUAUCUCUGUAUUUUUUGCAAGAAUCCAAAUUCAAAAGUUAUUCCUCGAUAUAUUUUACUGUAUUAUAUGGAUAUACAUACAUUCUUUAAUUGUCUUAAUCAUUUGUUCAGUGUGUACCAAAUACAUUUUAGUACUCGAGCAUAUGUGCAGUUGUUAGAUGACACAAGCUCACUUAGUGCAAGUGCAAUUGGUGAAGCAGUCGAGAACCUGUUAUUUACUAGUGCACAUUUUUU
rnacentral:lncRNA from 1 species